GUGGGGAAUAUUGCGCAAUGGACGAAAGUCUGACGCAGCGACGCCGCGUGAGUGAUGAAGGCCUUAGGGUCGUAAAGCUCUGUUGAAUGGGAAGAAAAAAAUGACGGUACCAUUCGAGGAAGGACCGGCUAACUUCGUGCCAGCAGCCGCGGUAAUACGAGGGGUCCUAGCGUUGUUCGGAAUCAUUGGGCGUAAAGGGUGUGUAGGUGGCCAUGUAAGUCAGGUGUGAAAGCCCCGGGCUCAACCCGGGAAGUGCACUUGAUACUGCGUGGCUUGAGUACCGAAGAGGGUAGUGGAAUUCCAGGUGUAGUGGUGAAAUACGUAGAUAUCUGGAGGAACACCGGUGGCGAAGGCGGCUACCUGGUCGAGUACUGACACUGAGACACGAAAGCAUGGGGAUCAAACAGGAUUAGAAACCCGAGUAGUCC
rnacentral:rRNA from 1 species